rnacentral:rRNA from 1 species
GAUGAACGCUGGCGGCGUGCCUAACACAUACAAGUCGAACGGAGAUUACGGACGGAAGUUUUCGGAUGGAAGCCUGUAAUUCUUAGUGGCGGACGGGUGAGUAACGCGUGGGCAACCUGCCCUAUACAGGGGGAUAGCAGCUGGAAACGGCUGGUAAGACCGCAUAAGUCGGUUAAAUCGCAUGAUUUGAUCGGGAAAUGAGCAAUCAGGUAUAGGAUGGGCCCGCGUCCGAUUAGCCAGUUGGCAGGGUAAAAGCCUACCAAAGCGACGAUCGGUAGCCGGACUGAGAGGUCGGACGGCCACAUUGGGACUGAGACACGGCCCAAACUCCUACGGGAGGCAGCAGUGGGGGAUAUUGCACAAUGGAGGAAACUCUGAUGCAGCGACGCCGCGUGAGUGAAGAAGUAUUUCGGUAUGUAAAGCUCUAUCAGCAGGGAAGAUGAUGACGGUACCUGACUAAGAAGCCCCGGCUAACUACGUG